UACAGAGGGGGCAAGCGUUGUUCGGAAUUCCUGGGCGUAAAGGGCGCGUAGGCGGCCCGCUAAGUCGAACGUGAAAUCCCCGAGCUCAACUCGGGAACUGCGUCCGAUACUGGUGGGCUUGAAUCCGGGAGAGGGAUGCGGAAUUCCAGGUGUAGCGGUGAAAUGCGUAGAUAUCUGGAGGAACACCGGUGGCGAAGGCGGCAGCCUGGACCGGCAUUGACGCUGAGGCGCGAAAGCUAGGGGAGCAAACGGG
rnacentral:rRNA from 1 species